rnacentral:rRNA from 1 species
GACGAACGCUGGCGGCGCGCCUAAUACAUGCAAGUCGAGCGAAGUUUUUCUGGUGCUUGCACUAGAAAAACUUAGCGGCGAACGGGUGAGUAACACGUAAAGAACCUGCCUCAUAGACUGGGACAACUAUUGGAAACGAUAGCUAAUACCGGAUAACAGUAUUUCUCGCAUGAGAGAUAUUUAAAAGUUGGUUAUGCUAACACUAUGAGAUGGCUUUGCGGUGCAUUAGCUAGUUGGUGGGGUAAAGGCCCACCAAGGCGACGAUGCAUAGCCGACCUGAGAGGGUGAUCGGCCACACUGGGACUGAGACACGGCCCAGACUCCUACGGGAGGCAGCAGUAGGGAAUCUUCCGCAAUGGGCGAAAGCCUGACGGAGCAACGCCGCGUGAGUGAAGAAGGAUUUCGGUUCGUAAAGCUCUGUUGUUAGGGAAGAAUGGAUAUGUAGUAACUAUACAUGUAAGAGACGGUACCUAACCAGAAAGCCACGGCUAACUACGUG